GAAAUUGUGAAUAUGAAGGGGUCAUUGACGACUUUAAUUCAUUCACAUGAUCAAAUAAAGAAAGUAUAUUCUAGCAUCAAGCUGCUUUAUUUAGAACAAGGCAGCAGAUAGAAACAACAAUAAUGCUUCAUAGGAGCCUGCAAUAAGCUUAUAAUUUCUUAAUGGGCUCCUUUUACUCCAAGUUGCCAAGCUCCAAGUUCC